rnacentral:rRNA from 1 species
UACGUAGGGGGCGAGCGUUGUCCGGAGUUACUGGGCGUAAAGCGCGUGUAGGCGGAUAGGCAAGUCUGCUGUGAAAGCUCCUGGCUUAACCGGGAGUGGUCGGUGGAAACUGCUUAUCUGGAGGACGGUAGAGGCUGGUGGAAUUCCCGGUGUAGUGGUGAAAUGCGUAGAGAUCGGGAGGAACACCUGUGGCGAAGGCGGCCAGCUGGGCCGGACCUGACGCUGAGACGCGAAGGCGUGGGGAGCGAACGGG